GUUGAACCAAGCUUAGGCUUAGGCUUGAACCAGGCUUAGGGUUAGGUUUGAACCAGGCUUAGGGUUGAACCAGGCUUAGGGUUGAACCAGGUUUAGACUUGGGGUUGAACCAGGCUUAGGCUUAGGGUUGAACCAGGUUUAGGGUUGAACCAGGUUUAGACUUGGGCUUGAACCAGGCUUAGGCUUAGGGGUUGAACCAGGCUUAGGGUUAGAGUUGAACCAGGGUUAGGGUUAGGGUUGAACCAGGUUUAGGUUUAGUGUUAUGGUUGAACCAGGUUUAGACUUGGGGUUGAACCAGGUUUAGGCUUAGGUGUAGGGUUGAACCAGGUUUAGGUAUAGUGUUGAACCAGGUUUAGGUGUAGGCUUGAACCAGGUUUAGGUGUAGGGUUGAACCAGGCUUAGGUGUAGGGUUGAACCAGGUUUAGGUGUAGGGUUGAACCAGGCUUAGGUGUAGGGUUGAACCAGGCUUAGGUGUAGGGUUGAACCAGGUUUAGGUGUAGGUUUGAACCAGGUUUAGGUGUAGGGUUGAACCAGGCUUAGGUGUACGGACGGACAGACAGAC
rnacentral:lncRNA from 1 species